GGUAUCAGAAGUGCGAAUGCUGACAUAAGUAACGAUAAAGCGGGUGAAAAGCCCGCUCGCCGGAAGACCAAGGGUUCCUGUCCAACGUUAAUCGGGGCAGGGUGAGUCGACCCCUAAGGCGAGGCCGAAAGGCGUAGUCGAUGGGAAACGGGUUAAUAUUCCCGUACUUGGUGUUACUGCGAAGGGGGGACGGAGAAGGCUAUGUUGGCCGGGCGACGGUUGUCCCGGUUUAAGCGUGUAGGUGUGUGUUCCAGGUAAAUCCGGUUCACUUUAACACUGAGGCGUGACGACGAGGCACUACGGUGCUGAAGCAACAAAUGCCCUGCUUCCAGGAAAAGCCUCUAAGCAUCAGGUAACAUCAAAUCGUACCCCAAACCGACACAGGUGGUCAGGUAGAGAAUACCAAGGCGCUUGAGAGAACUCGGGUGAAGGAACUAGGCAAAAUGGUGCCGUAACUUCGGGAGAAGGCACGCUGACACGUAGGUGAAGUGAUUUACUCAUGGAGCUGAAGUCAGUCGAAGAUACCAGCUGGCUGCAACUGUUUAUUAAAAACACAGCACUGUGCAAACACGAAAGUGGACGUAUACGGUGUGACGCCUGCCCGGUGCCGGAAGGUUAAUUGAUGGGGUCAGCGCAAGCGAAGCUCCUGAUCGAAGCCCCGGUAAACGGCGGCCGUAACUAUAACGGUCCUAAGGUAGCGAAAUUCCUUGUCGGGUAAGUUCCGACCUGCACGAAUGGCGUAAUGAUGGCCAGGCUGUCUCCACCCGAGACUCAGUGAAAUUGAACUCGCUGUGAAGAUGCAGUGUACCCGCGGCAAGACGGAAAGACCCCGUGAACCUUUACUAUAGCUUGACACUGAACAUUGAGCCUUGAUGUGUAGGAUAGGUGGGAGGCUUUGAAGUGUGGACGCCAGUCUGCAUGGAGCCGACCUUGAAAUACCACCCUUUAAUGUUUGAUGUUCUAACGUGGACCCGUUACCCGGGUUGCGGACAGUGUCUGGUGGGUAGUUUGACUGGGGCGGUCUCCUCCUAAAGAGUAACGGAGGAGCACGAAGGUUGGCUAAUCCUGGUCGGACAUCAGGAGGUUAGUGCAAUGGCAUAAGCCAGCUUGACUGCGAGCGUGACGGCGCGAGCAGGUGCGAAAGCAGGUCAUAGUGAUCCGGUGGUUCUGAAUGGAAGGGCCAUCGCUCAACGGAUAAAAGGUACUCCGGGGAUAACAGGCUGAUACCGCCCAAGAGUUCAUAUCGACGGCGGUGUUUGGCACCUCGAUGUCGGCUCAUCACAUCCUGGGGCUGAAGUAGGUCCCAAGGGUAUGGCUGUUCGCCAUUUAAAGUGGUACGCGAGCUGGGUUUAGAACGUCGUGAGACAGUUCGGUCCCUAUCUGCCGUGGGCGCUGGAGAACUGAGGGGGGCUGCUCCUAGUACGAGAGGACCGGAGUGGACGCAUCACUGGUGUUCGGGUUGUCAUGCCAAUGGCACUGCCCGGUAGCUAAAUGCGGAAGAGAUAAGUGCUGAAAGCAUCUAAGCACGAAACUUGCCCCGAG
rnacentral:rRNA from 3 species